UGGAUAUUUAUCUCUUGUCAUCAUUCAGUAGUUCUUCAUUAAAAAAACUGAUUCUAACAAAUAUUAACGCUAUUCUAUAUUUACAUUGUUUAUAAAUUAGUAUACUGAUGUAUUUAUCUAUACCUAAUAUAGGCAAGAUAUGAAUUAAAAGACACGAAUUAAACUGUGCAAUUAUAUAUUCAUCUUAAGCAAGCAACAAAAUGUCUUUUCCUGCGAGUCACAUCUUUUCCUUAAACAUCCCCCAGGGUUCCUGGUGUAUCGCAACUGUCUCACAAGUGUGAACUUCAUCUUUGGAAAAUGGAUCCUUUCUGCAAGUGAGCCCGCGUGCACAUGGACAGCUAUCUCCAGGCUAGAA